AACAAACGCUGGCGGCGUGUCUUAAGCAUGCAAGUUGAGCGGCAAGGAGGAGAGAUCCUCCCUAGAGCGGCGGACUGGUGAGUAACGCGUGGGUAAUCUAUCGUAGGCAUGGGGAUAGUCACUAGAAAUAGUGGGUAAUACCGAAUACGUUCCAUGAGGGGAGUAUUCAUGGAAGAAAGGGUGCUACGGCACUGGCCUUAGGUGAGCUCGCGUCCCAUUAGCUAGUUGGUGAGGUAAAGGCCCACCAAGGCGAUGAUGGGUAGCCGGCCUGAGAGGGUGUACGGCCACACUGGGACUGAGAUACGGCCCAGACUCCUACGGGAGGCAGCAGCUAAGAUAUUCCGCAAUGGACGAAAGUCUGACGGAGCGACGCCGCGUGGAUGAAGAAGGCCGAAAGGUUGUAAAGUUCUUUUGCUAGGGGAGAAUAAGUGAGGGAGGGAAUGCCCUCAUGAUGACAAGGACUAGCGAAUAAGCCCCGGCAACUACGUGCCAGCAGCCG
rnacentral:rRNA from 1 species